rnacentral:rRNA from 1 species
AGUGAACGCUGGCGGCGUGCUUAAGACAUGCAAGUCGAACGGCAGUCUUCGGACUGUAGUGGCGCACGGGUGAGUAACGCGUAACUGACCUACCCCAAAGUCGCGGAUAACGAUUCGAAAGAAUCGCUAAUACGUGAUGUGCUGUCAGAUUGUGUUCUGCCAGUAAAGAUUGAUUGCUUUGGGAUGGGGUUGCGUUCCAUCAGCUAGUUGGUGGGGUAAGGGCCCACCAAGGCGACGACGGAUAGCCGGCCUGAGAGGGUGGCCGGCCACAGGGGCACUGAGACACGGGUCCCACUCCUACGGGAGGCAGCAGUUAGGAAUCUUCCACAAUGGGCGAAAGCCUGAUGGAGCGACGCCGCGUGAGGGAUGAAGGUCUUCGGAUCGUAAACCUCUGAAUCAGGGACGAAAGACACUUCGGUGGGAUGACGGUACUGAGUAAUAGCACCGGCUAACUCCGUGCCAGCAGCCGCCGUAACAC